rnacentral:rRNA from 1 species
GCUUCUGGUGGAUGAGUGGCGAACGGGUGAGUAACACGUGAGUAACCUGCCCCCGAUUUCGGGAUAAGCCCGGGAAACUGGGUCUAAUACCGGAUACGACCUGCCCUCGCAUGAGGGUUGGUGGAAAGUUUUUCGAUCGGGGAUGGGCUCGCGGCCUAUCAGCUUGUUGGUGGGGUAAUGGCCUACCAAGGCGACGACGGGUAGCCGGCCUGAGAGGGCGACCGGCCACACUGGGACUGAGACACGGCCCAGACUCCUACGGGAGGCAGCAGUGGGGAAUAUUGCACAAUGGGGGAAACCCUGAUGCAGCGACGCAGCGUGCGGGAUGACGGCCUUCGGGUUGUAAACCGCUUUCAGCAGGGAAGAAGCCGUAAGGUGACGGUACCUGCAGAAAAAGUACCGGCUAACUACGUGCCAGCAGCCGC